AUUGAACGCUGGCGGCAGGCUUAACACAUGCAAGUCGAACGGUAACAGGAAGCAGCUUGCUGCUUCGCUGACGAGUGGCGGACGGGUGAGUAAUGUCUGGGAAGCUGCCUGAUGGAGGGGGAUAACUACUGGAAACGGUAGCUAAUACCGCAUAAUGUCGCAAGACCAAAGAGGGGGACCUUCGGGCCUCUUGCCAUCGGAUGUGCCCAGAUGGGAUUAGCUUGUUGGUGGGGUAACGGCUCACCAAGGCGACGAUCCCUAGCUGGUCUGAGAGGAUGACCAGCCACACUGGAACUGAGACACGGUCCAGACUCCUACGGGAGGCAGCAGUGGGGAAUAUUGCACAAUGGGCGCAAGCCUGAUGCAGCCAUGCCGCGUGUAUGAAGAAGGCCUUCGGGUUGUAAAGUACUUUCAGCAGGGAGGAAGGGAGUAAAGUUAAUACCUUUGCUCAUUGACGUUACCCGCAGAAGAAGCACCGGCUAACUCCGUG
rnacentral:rRNA from 1 species